rnacentral:snRNA from 1 species
GUGCUUGCUUCGGCAGCACAUAUACUAAAAUUGGAACAAUACAAAGAUUAGAAUGGUCCCUGCGCAAGGAUGACAUGCAAAUUUGUGAAGCGUUCCAUAUUUUU